UACAGAGGGGGCGAGCGUUAUUCGGAAUUAUUGGGCGUAAAGGGCGCGUAGGCGGCUUUUCAAGUGACGGGUGAAAUCCCUCGGCUUAACCGGGGAACUGCGUCUGAUACUGGAUGGCUUGAGUUCGGGAGAGGGAUGCGGAAUUCCAGGUGUAGCGGUGAAAUGCGUAGAUAUCUGGAGGAACACCGGUGGCGAAGGCGGCAUCCUGGACCGACACUGACACUGAGGAGCGAAAGCCAGGGGAGCAAACGGG
rnacentral:rRNA from 1 species